rnacentral:lncRNA from 1 species
UCAGAAAUAACAGAGAAAAUAUAUUCACAAAGUAGUUAUACAGAUGAUCUGUAAGCUUUCCAUGGCUCUCUUUUCUCUUGGCAUUGAAUUGCCAUUUUUUUUUUUGCCCCCAGUUUUAUUUUUGAGAAUGAUGUACAGAAACAGAGAGCAUGAAUAAUACAAGAUUGAUACAGAAGAAGAGCAAGAAGAAAAAUCAGAAGGUACCAGACGAUUCCAAGGUUUCCAAUCUGCUCCUCAGGCACUGGUGGUCAGCUUCAAUCUUUGGGAAACAGAGAUAGCCUCAGCUUCGAAAUGAAUGAAGAAUGUUCUGUAAAGCUUUUAUUUAACGCAGAGUAAAGAGUUCCCUUCUUGUUUAGGAAUAUAUGUGCAUUUCCCUCCCUCGAUCAAAAUCUCCCGGCAUACUGCAGCAAUUAACAAGUCUCUUACCUUCUUGUCCAGAGCACUUUUGUUCUUCUUCCUCCACCUCGUCCAAAGGUCAAGAAAGGUUAAAGGUUGUCCUCUUUUAAUCUUUGCUGCAGCUUGAUGGUGGUCCACAAACUCCUAAAGAUGGUUGACCGAUUCCACAUUCGAGCCACAAAAAAGCACAGUUAUUGCUAAGAUUAAAGUUUUCUUCCUCGAAUAAUU